UACGGGGGGGGCAAGCGUUGUUCGGAAUUACUGGGCGUAAAGGGCUCGUAGGUGGCCAACUAAGCCAUACGUGAAAUCCCUCGGCUUAACCGGGGAACUGCGUCUGAUACUGGAUGGCUUGAGUUUGGGAGAGGGAUGCGGAAUUCCAGGUGUAGCGGUGAAAUGCGUAGAUAUCUGGAGGAACACCGGUGGCGAAGGCGGCAUCCUGGACCAACACUGACGCUGAGUGAGCGAAAGCCAGGGGAGCAAAACGGGG
rnacentral:rRNA from 1 species